rnacentral:rRNA from 1 species
CGCACUGCUAGUCCAGCCGCGUAUUCCAGUCUUU